UUUGUGCAAAGUGCCCAGCACGAUGACAGUUACGUUACCGGGAUAUGGUAACUAUCUCCUCUCCUCUGUCUUCCUUGUUAGGUGGUAACUGCUGGACAAGUUGAAGCCCAAUCCAAAGGGGACUCCUCUUAGAAAGUGCACAGAAUAGCAGAAGAUGGACUGGUGACUCGCAGCCAGGACAGAAUGGCUGAGGUGGGGAGAUCAAGGAGGGAAUGGAUUCCCUCCUGGGGAAAUCCUGAUGCACAGGACAGGCCAUAUCUUUCAUUCUAUGGCCUGGAGCACCUGCCUCACCUGGACCCCAUCCAACCCUACCCUCCUGCCCUUGCUUGGGUUUACAAUACCCUCCAUGAUCAAACUUUCCCAAGGAGACCUGUAACUCCUCUGGCCCCACUGAGAUUUCUGUCUGUGUCGGGCCAGCAUAGGUCCUACGCCAAGACAGAGAAAACCAGGAGUGGGAAGAUAGGGUCCAGCCAGGUAAGUGGAAGAUUUUUGAAGACCUUGUGCCUUAUAAACACCAUUGUGUUCUCAUCUGAAUUUAAAGCAAAAACUAAACUGC
rnacentral:lncRNA from 1 species